AAACAUUAACACCGUAAAUAAUAUUGAAGUUAAGAUAGGUGAUUUGAUUUUUGUGAUGAUUGAGAUUAAACUAAAUGCGGAUAAAUGCAUGCAAUCUAAAUGCAGAGGCUCAGGAUCCCUAGGAGAAGAUCUGAUAUUAUGCAGAAUACAUAAAAGAUGCUUCAUUUCAAAGUAGGUACUACAAGAAGUAGCAAGCUAGCUUUUUGAACUUUUUUUUCUCUAAGAGAAUUAUGGUAUGAUUAUGAAGAGAUGUUUGGAUCAUGGCGCAGCUCAGGCCAGAGAAAGGCACCCAUUGCAAACUCUCUCUUGUGAGCCAAGUCACCCUUGGUAGACAACCCAUACUCUGCAAGAAGCCGGUUGACCUUCCACUCAGGCAUGUCCUGGUAGUCCUUCUUGGUAUAUCUUGGGUAGUGGAGCGGCAUCUUGAAGAAGCUCACGCUACCGUUGGUUUUCUGGCUUUCCAUCGAGCUAUCUCUUUUCUCUCUUAGCUAGCUUUUGUUUUGUGGUUUUAGGUGGUGCUGCUGUGGAACUUACUGUUGCUUCAGGAAUUUUGAGAUCCAUUUAUAGACUGUGAGAGAGAGUUUGUACGUUCCUGGAGGAGGCAGGUUGUAGAGGCAUGAUUAGAGCACUUCCAGCGGCAAGGGGAAGCCAGGGCAGGAGAGGGCCUAGGCCCGCGUGACGGCUCCAGCGUGCAAGGGCAAGCCCAAAUAAGGCGUGAGCCCACCAACCCUAGUAAAUCCAGCUAGUGCUGCUGCCUGGACAAGUCAUGUAAUGCUAACAUCCCAAUUUAAAAAAUUAAAAAAAUUGUAAAAAAAAGGAAAAAAAUUACCUAAAAAUUCAGAUUUUUUAUAUAUUUAUAAAUACUUAGCUAUAUUCUUUACUUCCCACACCAAAACUCUAAAUCUUAUCAGAAUUAAUAGUUUAUGUAUAUAAAAUAAAAAUAAUUUAAAGUGAAUAGUAAUUGCCAUUUGCCAUAGCAAUGGAUGGAAACACACUUUGCAUUUUGCAAGGGCUAGUACUAUUCAUGUGAAUAGUAAUAGCUUUUAUCUCCCUUUGUUUUUUGUCAUGACAAAUGGAUGGAAGUGCUCUUCAGGUUCACAAGAAUUGGUUGACAUACCUUCUCACAACAUAGUAUUUACGUGUUAAAUCUUUAGGCCGUGUGAUACAGUGGUACUUUUAUUUUUCAAGUUUUUAUUUUUUAUAAUCAAAAUAAUAAUGAACUUCAUUAAUUGGAAAACUUCACGAGAACUAAAUGGAGCAAAACAAAGUGUCCUCGUUAAAACGUUGUGAUAGAAAACCCCCAAGAGAUAAAAAUCCUAACAACCUGAGGAGGACAAUACCGAUAGCAACGGUAGACAUGGCCCCCUACCCUGAAACUCACUCAACAAACACAAUCUCGGCUGUCAAAGUGACCCCAUGAAAAAUGAUUAAAAAUCCAAAACUAGCGGUGCCAAUAAGCAACAUGUGUUCGAAUAACAAUCUCUAAUCCCAUGCGAUCAUCAUCCAAAACACAAAACUUACCACACAAUUAAGACUGUAGGGCCUCCUGCAGGGGAUCAGAUGGACCUCCCUCUUCUCAGCCACACGAUGAGUUUGUGUGACUUUUUUGAAUGAUUAAGAAUCGAACACACAUAAUUGAAGGGCCCGGAUUUGAUACAUUUGGGGUACCAUGUCUAAUAGGCAAGUACGUUACAUACACGUAUGAGGCUCAAACAUGAAAUAUAUGUGUAAGACUAGGAGUAAGAAGACUUCAGUCUAAUAUGUGUGGUGUCUAGGAUCCGUAUCAACAACCACUUGAUUGUGGGGACUAGGGCCCCUUAAAUUCAAUAAUCAAAUAUGUAUUCCUAGCCUCAUGAUUUGCUUACCUAAACCCUAAACCCUACUUUACUUCGAAGUGUUGGACAUGUGUCCUUCCAACCACAUUAUCCAAAAUAUGAAGGGAAAAAAUAAAAUAAAAAAUGGUACGAUUGUGUGUCCUACUAUUUCAAUCACGACUGCUCAUGACGUAUUAAUUUUUAUAGAAAUAGAAAGAGGUAAGACUCACAUUCAUAUCAUACGUGUCCACAUACAGAGCAAAGCGCUCUAUCACUAUAAAAGAUCAUACUUUCAUGUAAUAAGUUGAUUGUGAGAAUAAAUUGUACGUAUCUUGUUUUAUUGAAGACUUUCUAUUUGGAUUUCUAUAGUGGGAAUUCAAACAAAAUGAGAAUAUUGUUUUGGUUCUCGUAUUGAAUGAUUAUCCAUUCUCUUGUAUUAGGUAAAAAAAUGCACUGGGAUGCUACUUCCCUUCUUUCCUGAAAGGGGACAUUCCUAUUUCCUGUAAAUCCAUGUUUGACACAUAUGCAAAAAUAAUUCAUCAAAAAUACAAAAAGAAAAUCUCUAAACACAUUUCAAAUUAUGAUUGGUAUGAAAAUCUCUAACUAUCAUAUUUGAAUGGUCUCAAACAGCUCUCAGUUCCUAGAAAGAUUAACUCAUAUUAAUUUCACAUUAGUUGCUCAUUGUCCCGUCGUUGAAUGGUGGUUAUUUUACUGGACAUUUUGGUUUAACUUUUCUUAGUGAUGCAUGGGAUAUGAAUAUAUGGACAAUUUUUUUUAUGGCAACAUGAAUUUAUGUUACUAUACCGCUGGACAUAUACUAAUUUUCAUGUGUUCAUUCUCAAAGCUUGUAUUUUCCACAUCCACUGCUGCUGUGGAAGUUAUACAUUUAUCUCAUCCUUCCUCAUUUACUUUGCAUGUAACUGUUUUCAUUUCGUGGUUCUUUGUGGUGUAAAAUUGGAUAUUUGACCCAAUGAAUCCUCUUGUGUUCUGCAGCUGUGAUGCAAUCAGAUGGGUACAAGCAUCUAGAAGAGAGCUGCCCCUCAAUGUUGCUGGAGUUGCUCUAGAGACAUUUGCUGUUUGCAGCAGUGGGUGAGAGUUCAAGUCUUCUGUCAAGUAGGAAGAGGAGUGGCAGCAGCAUAUAUGGGCUAGACUUGCCAGCAGAAGGUGGCGGGGCUGUAGCAGAAUCAGCAAAUCCCAGUGGAAGGCGUGUGGAAGCAGCAUAGUUGGUUUACUGAGAGUUGUUAUCCUUGGUUAUUUUAAGUGGAAAUUCUUUGUUAUCGCGCACAGUUUUGAUAGGUUAGGGAACUAAAGUGGCUUUACUUGUUGAAAAUGAAUUCAAUAUUAGAUUUAUUUCAAUAAUUUUUUUCUUCCUCUUGAGUUCAUUUGGGCUGCUAAGGUGAAUGCACUACUGUAAUUGGAAACAAAAUUCAUCAUUCAAUUUAGGAAGGAAAAAAAAAGAACUAGUAGAAGAUCUGAUAUUGUGCAGAAUACAUAAAAGAUGCUUCAUUUCAAAGUAGAUACUACAAGAAGUAGCAAGCUAGCUUUUUGAACUUCUAAGAGAAUUAUGGUAUGAUUAUGAAGAAGGGUUUGGAUUAUGGCGCUGCUCAGGCCAGAGAAAGGCACCCAUUGCAAACUCUCUCUUGCGAGCCAAGUCACCAGUGGUAGACAACCCAUACUCUGCAAGAAGCCGGUUGACCUUCCACUCAGGCAUGUCCUGGUAGUCCUUCUUGGUAUAUCUUGGAUAGUGGAGCGGCAUCUUGAAGAAGCUCACGCUACCGUUGGUUUUCUGGCUUUCCAUCGAGCUAUCUCUUUUCUCUCUUAGCUAGCUUCUGUUUUGUGUUUUUAGGUGGUGCUGAUGUGGAACUACUGUUGCUUCAGG
rnacentral:lncRNA from 1 species